ACCAUUUUCAAUAGCAUGCUAUUUUAGGAUUAAGAGAAUUCGAGUCGAUGGUAUCGUUUCUUUUUGACAAAAUGACGAUUGGAUCGUAUCUAUCUGCGAAAUAAAAGCGCACCAGCGCUCCAUUGGUAUAGUGCGUGACUACAUCAGCAUCCGCUUUUCACGACGGACGGAUGUCUGAAUCUGGUAAAUCUGCGUCAUACAGGUGUGCUGUGAACAGGUAGAUCAAACUAAACAGGCAGGUAGAUAUUGGAAGAAUGGGAUGUUGGAAGGUGGUACAGACGACCUGUACCAGGUGACCAAUCCGUGCUGGUCUACUACUAGGGAAGGAUGAGUAACGACUUACUCUAUUGUUUAAAACAGACAACACAAUUUUAUUUUUCUCAACAGUGACGAAUAAUUGGUUGAAUUACUUGGAAUAUCCCACAAAGAUGGUGAAACUAGAACAGGACGCUAUCAUAGGACUGGCUGUCGGGUUUGGUUCUAUUGUGGGCGGAAUCAUCCUGUGUUGUAUAUUGUGGAACUGCUGCUGUGGUUCAAAGGACGAAAAGGCCAAGUCGAAACGAAAGCCCGUCGGACCAUGGAUGGAGAUGUGUAACGGUAGUUCGUCUGACGUAGGAAGCACAAAAACGUCACAGACGCCGAUAUCAAAGCGGAGUCGAGACUCAUACAGUCCAAAAUAUGAUAACCGGAACCAGAGUCAGGAAAAGCCACUUCGGCAACCGUUCAAACAAAGCGCGGCUCUAAAUGACGAUGCUUACUAUGACCGCGCUUCGCCCGAUUACCACUACAGUAACAUGAACACGGAAAGUUAUGGUCAGCCGACCAGACCACCGUACAAACAAACUCGGUUACCGGAAAUGGACUAUCCCACGGGGUCGUCAUCUCAUCGGACAAAUUUCAGUUCAUCAGACUGGCACAGUGGUGUAAAUGUCGACAAACAGAAUGAAAGAGCUAUACACGACGUAAAGAAAAACCCCGAGGCGUUCUAUCAACGUUAUUUAUACUGAUGAUGCAGAUACACACGACGUAAAGAAAAACCCCGAGGCUUUCUAUCAACGUUAUUUAUACUGAUGAUGCAGCUUCACACAACGUAAAGAAAAACCCCGAGGCUUUCUAUCAACGUUAUUUAUACUGAUGAUGCAGAUACACACGACGUAAAGAAAAACCCCGAGGCGUUCUAUCAACGUUAUUUAUACUGCUGAUGCAGCUACACACAACGUAAAGAAAAAUCCCGAGGCGUUCCUUCAACGUUGUUUGUAGAGAUAAUUCUUAAUAAUGUCAGACAGAACGAACUGUACGUUCAGCUGUGGAUUUUGAGUUUGUACGUUCAGCUGUGGAUUUUUAGUCUGCAUUGUUCAGCUGGGGAAUUUGAAUCUCUGUAGUCAGCUUGAGAAAUGCAGUCUGUUCGUUCAGCUGUGGAUAUUGAAUCUGAACUUUCAGGGUUGUGAACUUCGAAAUGGCAGUAUCCGAUCACACAUGUUCUGGAUACUCCAAUUUUUGGCAAUACACUGUAGAGGCAGUCUGUCAGAUAGUUAUUAAUCCGCUUUAUAUUCACGAAUAUUCAUCACCGGUUACCAAUAUAGUAGUCUUGCACAGUCCAUGACCGUAUAGCCCAAAAUUCGUGAAUUUAAAAGUUAUUAUUUUGAUUAACGUUCGCGAAAUCAUGUAUUUUUCUAUUAUGUCUGUAGAGAUAAUGUCGAUAAUUUAGUGCAGUAUGUAUUCAAAAAUAGUGUAUAACAAAUAUAAUCAUCACAGAAAUAAAAAAAAAAACCUGUUAUUUACAAGGAAAAAAUCAGGUAAAACAUCGUGUUAAUGAUCAAACAUUUGUCGAAUCUGCCAAUAUCAAUUAGUCAGUACUUUUAUGGAAAACUUUCUGUAGAUUACGAGUUAUCUACCUUGAUUUGUGUUAAUGUGUGAUCUGUACGACCAGCUGGUCGGUCAGAGUUUGUAUAUACGUUUAUUUCUAUAAUACUAGCUGUGACUUAAUUGUAUAUUUAUUUCGUUUAUAUAUUCGCUCGAAGAUGGACGAUUCAAUCAAAAUAGAGAGGUAAUAUGGCAGAUUUAUAAAGUCGAUGUUGAAAUAGAAUUAAUAUGGCUUUUCUGUGGAUGUAUACGCAAGAGGAGGUACAAUAUGGUCAGACCUGAACGUAUAUUACAUAUGGCGGAGUCGAUCUCAAACUGCUUUGAUUCAAUGAUGUAAGUUUAGGAGCGACUUUUUACGAAUCGCAGAACGAGUACAGUGUAUUCUUCAAAAUAAGUGUAUGAAUCACAGUGUAGAAACGAAAAGAUAAAACACCAAUUUUCUGUCUAAAUCAUAAAACAUGCCCUGUAAGAUUGUUUCAUGAUUACACGUGAAAAUGAUAUAUAAGUAUUUACCACCCCCCUGUUCGACGUCAGGUGACCAUUUCUCCCAGCUGAACAUACAAACUCCAAUUAAUGGUAAUAAACUGGGGCCAUACAAAACAUAACCGAUGUUUUGGACACAGUUAGACGCUGAAGUGUGACGCUGAUCAGAUGUGAUGGAGACAGUCCGUCCGCGUGUCUGUAAAGUGACACUGAUCAGAUGUGAUGGAGACAGUCCGUCCGAGUGUCUGUAGAGUGACGCUGAUCAGAUGUGAUGGAGACAGUCCGUCCGAGUGUCUGUAGAUUGACGCUGAUCAGAUGUGAUGGAGACAGUCCGUCCGAGUGUCUGUAGAUUGACGCUGAUCAGAUGUGAUGGAGACAGUCCGUCCGAGUGUCUGUAGAGUGACACUGAUCAGAUGUGAUGGAGACAUGUAUAGUCCGUCCGAGUGUCUGUAGAGUGACGCUGAUCCGAUGUGAUGGGAGACAAUCCGUCCGAGUGUCUGUAGAUUGACACUGAUCAGAUGUGAUGGAGACAGUCCGUCCGAGUGUCUGUAGAGUGACGCUGAUCAGAUGUGAUGGAGACGGUCCGUCCAAGUGUCUGUAGAGUGACGCUGAUCAGAUGUGAUGGAGACAGUCCGUCCGAGUGUCUGUAGAGUGACGCUGAUCAGAUGUGAUGGAGACAGUCCGUCCGAGUGUCUGUAGAGUGACGCUGAUCAGAUGUGAUGGAGACGGUCCGUCCGAGUGUCUGUAGAGUAACGCUGAUCAGAUGUGAUGGAGACAGUCCGUCCGAGUGUCUGUAGAGUGACGCUGAUCAGAUGUGAUGGAGACAGUCCGUCCGAGUGUCUGUAGAGUGACGCUGAUCAGAUGUGAUGGAGACACGUACACGUGUAUAGUCCGUUUAUAUUUUAUAUUUAUAUUUUCAUGAUGAGUGGUCAUCUCAAAACAAUGACGAUAGUUGUUUUCAGGAUGUCAAAAUCUUUUCUUUUACAUACUUAUGUUGCUAAGUGUAAUGUUUUGAGAAAAACGCAUUCUGCUAUUGGAUUUACACUUUUCAUUUUGUUGUUAUUUGACGUCAUCAUAAGGUGACGUCAUAUUUCGGUAUUAUUUGACGUCAUCAUAACGUGACGUUAUAUAUUGGUGUUAUUUGGCGUCUUCAUAACGUAACGUCAUAUUUCGGUGUUAUUUGGCAUCAUCAUAACGUGACGUCAUAUUUCGGUGUUAUUUGACGUCAUCAUAACUUGACGUUACUAUUGUGUGACGUCAUUGGUUUGUCACUAUUGUUUGGUUUAUGUGUUCUCCUGGUAGCGGGUGGGGGUAAUAUCUUCACUAGUAUACAUACUAUUACUAAUUAAUAUUGCCUACAACUUAACCGAAGUGGCAGUUUAGUUUCCAUCACUAUUUCAUUCAUUUCCGUUGUGUAUUUUCCUUUUGUAUAUGACAUAAGUGAGUAAAUGUUUUUGUGCCUUGUUAAUUAAUCACUGUGAUAUAUGUUUCAUCGCGUACUGUUCUACAUAGAUAUUAAAUUCCUCGAUUACAUAGUGGUUACCUUCAAAUUGGCUAUAGUUGUACAUUGUACGUUUACAAGUUUGUAUUUUGUGUCAAUGUUUCAAGAUUUUCGUUCGAAGAUGCUUAAUCGUUGUAUAACCAGGGAUAUUGAGAAGGAAAGAAUAGCGGGUGAUAUUGAAAUUCAGUUCAGAACUGGAAAACUGAGGGUCAGAUCUGGAACUUUUCUACUGUAUACUUCCUUAUCUCGAUAAGUGUACUGAUGUAAUGUACCCGGGGAAACCCACGUGGUCGGGCAGGUGACCCCAUACUUUUUCACGUCCGAUCGGGGAAUCGAACCCCGGCCGCCUAGCGCUAUUGUUGAAAGGCAAGUGUGUUACCACUGUACCAUUCGGUCACCCAGCUUCCGAAAACUAAACCCGCUACUGCGUAAACAUGAAAUAUCCUCUUGAUUAAUGAUUUUGUCAUCUCGUCAUGUGUUACUAUGUCACGAUUGUUUUAAUUGAACGUUGUGUGUGUAUGUUAGUACAAGCAAUGCGUAGUCAGUCAUUACAAAAAUACAAUCAUCAGAGCACUUA